GACGAUCAGUAGCCGACCUGAGAGGGUGAUCGGCCACAUUGGAACUGAGACACGGUCCAAACUCCUACGGGAGGCAGCAGCGGGGAAUAUUGCACAAUGGGCGAAAGCCUGAUGCAGCAACGCCGCGCGAGUGAUGAAGGCCUUCGGGUCGUAAAACUCUGUCCUCAAGGAAGAUAAUGACGGUACUUGAGGAGGAAGCCCCGGCUAA
rnacentral:rRNA from 1 species